rnacentral:rRNA from 1 species
UUUGUUACUUCAAACCAAUCGGACUUCGGUCUGACAUCAAGUGAUAUUGAACAAUUUAGCUGAUCGCACGGUCUAAGAACCGGCGACAUAUCCUUCAAAUGUCUGCCUUAUCAACUUUCGAUGGUAGAUUAUGCGCCUACCAUGGUUGUAACGGGUAACGGAGAAUCAGGGUUUGAUUCCGGAGAGGGAGCCUGAGAAACGGCUACCACAUCCAAGGAAGGCAGCAGGCACGCAAAUUACCCACUCCCGGCACGGGGAGGUAGUGACGAAAAAUAACAAGCUGGUCUCAAUGAGUUCCAGCAUUGUAAUGGGAACAAUUUAAAUCUUUUAUCGAGGAUCUAUUGGAGGGCAAGUCUGGUGCCAGCCGCGGUAAUUCCAGCUCCAAUAGCGUAUAUUAAAGUUGUUGCGGUUAAAAAGCUCGUAGUUGGAUCUAGGAUUAGGGCUACGGUCGUUCAGCUUGGACGUACUGUAUGCCCGACUCCUUUUCUCUAGUAUUCGAUUGUUGCUCUUAAAUGAGUGACUUUAGUUGCUGGAACUUUUACCUUGAAAAAAUUGAAGUGCUCAAAGCAGGUUAUU